AUGAUCACUUUUUUAGUUGUUGUAAUUAAAAAAAAAAUGAAACUGAAAUAUAUAGAACCUACUAAAACAGACUAAAUAAAUACAUAAAUAUACAAUUAUGCCAUGAAAAUGAUAAGAAAUAGAAAGUAGAUUGAAGCAGGUGUUGAGGAACCUAAACCCUAUCUGAAUGAAUUUGUUUUGACGCAUCCAAAUCUAACCGAACGUCGAUUUCGAUUGCAUCGGGGAAAGAAGUGAUGAUCCUAAAUUGAAUUUUCCUCAAUUGAAGGGCAAAGUCCAAGGCCUGGUUCAUGGUGGCUCGAGCACCCGCUAUUGCUUCAACAAGCUCUGCAUUGGUCAACCAGGUGUUUCCGCUGCCAUCUCUUGAUGUUUGGGACGCAAAAGAAGAAGGAGGCGGAGAAGCCUAUUACCGCGAAAACGAUGUGGCCGAACUCCAUCAUCACCGGUGGUGUUCAUGCUUCAACUUCUCCAACACCCAUAUAUGACCAUGAUGACAAUGGAGAGAGACCCCUUUAUUCUUGUUGAACGUGAAUGUAUAUAUCCUCUCCGUGUGAAGGGGAGAGGCUGGCGUUGUUGAUUGGUUUAGUGGGUAGUUGGGGGAUCGGUGUGGUGGCUCUGCCGUCAUAGAUGGUGGCUUUGCCACUGUACUAGCUAGAAUGUCUUGCCGUUGAAGGCGUUGUCUACUUUAAGAACGACAGACUACAAGAGUUGUUGUAAUUGGCAAAUGCAACCGAGUUUAUGAGCGAGAUGAGGAGCAAGUUAAUGCAUUAGGGAAAAUUCAUCAAAAAGAAAAUGGAUACCCCAACAAAUACUUAUGCUCAUCAAAAAGAAAAUGGAAAAUUCAUCAAAAAGAAAAAUGUACAAAAAAAGAUAUAGAGUGUUAAGAUAGUGCUCGUCAAACUCAUUGCAAAAUUUUAAUCAUAAAUGUUCAUGUUGACACAAGUGAGAUAAUUUUGAGUAGUGAUGAACUAUCUUCAUUGUUUAUCUAAAUAAUGAGUAAUCAUAUUAUGUAAGGAUAAUAUAAAAUGUGGAGGUAGGAUAAAGUUUUAUUUGGAUCCUAUAGUGAGUGUCAAAUGUUCUUACUAAGAUUCAAAGCGUGGAUCUUUGGAUAUGUGACAAAAUCUGAGUGAUUUGAUGACUCCUGAUGAAAACUCAUGAGAAUU